rnacentral:rRNA from 1 species
UAGGGAAUCUUCACAAUGGACGAAAGUCUGAUGGAGCAACGCCGCGUGAGUGAAGAAGGGUUUCGGCUCGUAAAACUCUGUUGUUAAAGAAGAACAUAUCUGAGAGUAACUGUUCAGGUAUUGACGGUAUUUAACCAGAAAGCCACGGCUAACUACGUGCCAG